rnacentral:rRNA from 1 species
AUGACUCGGGGAUAGCCUUUCGAAAGAAAGAUUAAUACCCGAUGGCAUAGUUCUUCCGCAUGGUAGAACUAUUAAAGAAUUUCGGUCAUCGAUGGGGAUGCGUUCCAUUAGGUUGUUGGCGGGGUAACGGCCCACCAAGCCUUCGAUGGAUAGGGGUUCUGAGAGGAAGGUCCCCCACAUUGGAACUGAGACACGGUCCAAACUCCUACGGGAGGCAGCAUG